AUGUGUACCCCAAUGUUCAUUGUAGCACUAUAUGCAAUAGCUAGGACAUGGAAGCAACCUAGAUAUCCAUCGACAGGUGAAUGGAUAAACAAGAUGUGGUAUAUAGAUUCUUUACCAUUAUACCACCUGGAAAGCCAGGUGGGGUGUGUGUGUGUGUGUGCACACGGCGCACGCACACGCUCAGUCAUACAGUCAUUUUCAACUCCUGCAAUCCCAUGGACUGUAGCCCACCAGGCUCCUCUUCCCAUGGGGUUAUCUGGGCAAGAAUACUGGAGUGGAAUAUAUUUCCUCCUCCAGGGGAUCUUUGCAAACCAGGGAUUGAACCUGCAACUCAUAUGUCUCCUGCAUUGGCAGGCUGAUUCUUUACCACUGAGCCAUUUGGGAAACCCACUGGAAUAUUACCCAGCCAUAGAAAGGAACAAAAUUGAAUCGUGUAUAGUGAUGUGGAUGAACCUAGAGCCUGUCACGCGAAGUGAAGCAAGUCAGAAAAUGAAAAACAAAUAUUGUAUAUCAACGUAUAUACAUGGAAUCUAGAAAAAAAAAUGGUCCUGAUGAGCCUAUUUACAGGGCAGGAACACAGACGUAGAAGUAGAGAACAGGCUUGUGGACACAGAGGGAGACAGAAAGGGCAGGACAAAUUGACAGUCGCACUGACAUAUAAACACCACCACAUGUAAACUAGAGAGCUGGCAGGAAGCUCCUACACAGCACAGGGAACUCAGCUGCCUCCUCUCUGAUGACUUAGAGGGUUGGGAUGGGGAGUGGGCUAGGAGGGAAGCUCAGGAGGGAAGGGAUAUUUAUGUACAUAUGGUUGAUCCACUUUUUGUACAAAAGAAACCAGCACAGCAUUGUAAAACAGGUGUAUUCCAAUAAAAAGAAGAAGAAAAGGCAGUCUUUUUCUAAUGUGGAGACAAAAAUCUAAGAUAAAUAUUGUAACAGGCAUACACUGGUAUAGUCAAGAUACAAAAGUUGGGCAAGCAACUCCUGGCUGCCUUCUUGUCUCAGCUUCCCCAACAGCCUUCUACAACUCCAUCCUUCUAUUCUCUUGUCAGGAUUCCUGAAACCAAGAAUACUUUU
rnacentral:lncRNA from 1 species